GUCUGAUUAAGGCAAACCCGGCGAAAGACGGGGACGCAAAGCCGAUGGUCUAACGGACUCCGGUCCCAUGACAGCAUGGCUGCCAGA
rnacentral:ncRNA from 1 species